rnacentral:tRNA from 1 species
CGGGGCAUGGCGCAGUCUGGUAGCGCACCUGCUUUGGGAGCAGGAAGUCGGGGGUUCAAAUCCCUCUGCCCCGACCA